AAGCGUCUGCGUCGGAACGAAGCCGUACACAUAAAAAAGAUCUUGCAGGCGGUCGUGUACGAGUGUGGUUUCGUAGCCACAACGUGGCUUUCAAAGCCUUUCU
rnacentral:ncRNA from 1 species